UGGGCAGUAUCCCUGGGAACUGCACCGACUUGUGAUAACAAUUAAAAAGGUUUCUGCCUAGAUCCGUUUUUACGGACCGGGACAGAGGG
rfam:Bacillus vireti LMG 21834 contig126, whole genome shotgun sequence.